GCCGGGGUGGUGAAAUGGCAGACACGUCAGCCUUAGGAGCUGGUGGCCGCAAGGCCGUGCGGGUUCGAAUCCCGCUCCCGGCA
rnacentral:tRNA from 1 species